UACGUAGGGUGCAAGCGUUAUCCGGAAUUAUUGGGCGUAAAGAGCUCGUAGGCGGUUUGUCGCGUCUGCUGUGAAAACUGGGGGCUCAACCCCCAGCCUGCAGUGGGUACGGGCAGACUAGAGUGCGGUAGGGGAGAUUGGAAUUCCUGGUGUAGCGGUGGAAUGCGCAGAUAUCAGGAGGAACACCGAUGGCGAAGGCGACUCUCUGGCCUGUAACUGACACUGAGGCGCGAAAGCGUGGGGAGCGAACAGG
rnacentral:rRNA from 1 species